rnacentral:rRNA from 1 species
GAUCUGGCUCAGGAUGAACGCUAGCGACAGGCUUAACACAUGCAAGUCGAGGGGCAGCACGGUGUAGCGAUACACUGGUGGCGACCGGCGCACGGGUGAGUAACACGUGUGCAACCAACCCCGUACCGGGAGAUAACCCGCGGAAACGUGGACUAACAUCCCAUGACACUCUAGAGCCGCAUGGCUCUAGAUUUAAAAUUCCGGUGGUACGGGACGGGCACGCGCGACAUUAGGUAGUUGGCGGGGUAAGGG